GACGAACGCUGGCGGCGUGCUUAACACAUGCAAGUCGAACGGAAAGGCCCUGCUUUUGUGGGGUGCUCGAGUGGCGAACGGGUGAGUAACACGUGAGUAACCUGCCCUUGACUUUGGGAUAACUUCAGGAAACUGGGGCUAAUACCGGAUAGGAGCUCCUUCUGCAUGGUGUGGGUUGGAAAGUUUCGGCGGUUGGGGAUGGACUCGCGGCUUAUCAGCUUGUUGGUGGGGUAGUGGCUUACCAAGGCUUUGACGGGUAGCCGGCCUGAGAGGGUGACCGGCCACAUGGGGACUGAGAUACGGCCCAGACUCCUACGGGAGGCAGCAGUGGGGAAUAUUGCACAAUGGGCGGAAGCCUGAUGCAGCAACGCCGCGUGCGGGAUGACGGCCUUCGGGUUGUAAACCGCUUUCGCCUGUGACGAAGCGUGAGUGACGGUAAUGGGUAAAGAAGCACCGGCUAACUACGUG
rnacentral:rRNA from 1 species